rnacentral:rRNA from 1 species
UACGGGGGGGGCAAGCGUUGUUCGGAAUUACUGGGCGUAAAGGGCUCGUAGGUGGCCAACUAAGUCAUACGUGAAAUCCCUCGGCUUAACCGGGGAACUGCGUCUGAUACUGGAUGGCUUGAGUUUGGGAGAGGGACGCGGAAUUCCAGGUGUAGCGGUGAAAUGCGUAGAUAUCUGGAGGAACACCGGUGGCGAAGGCGGCGUCCUGGACCAAUACUGACACUGAGGAGCGAAAGCCAGGGAGCAAACAGG